rnacentral:misc_RNA from 1 species
CAAACACAAAUAAACACAAUCCGAAUUAGAAAGAUAAAAGAACAGACAAUU